rnacentral:tRNA from 2 species
GCACCUGUAGUUCAAUGGAUAGAAUGGAGGUUUCCGGUACCUCAGAUAAGGGUUCGAUUCCCUUCGGGUGUACUU